rnacentral:sRNA from 1 species
AACACCAAACAGAUAACACCACAUACACACUUGCACACAUAUAUACACAAAAAUAGACAAAUAAAUAGAGCGCGACAGUAUGUCGGGGCACAGGGCAUGCUCCCCAUGGUAGGCUGCAGGGGAUGCUCCACUGACUCUCGUGUUCCUCUCCCAGGAGCUGCUGUGGUCUGAUGAGAGAGAGCCACUUGGGAAUAUGGAGGAAGCCUUUGAUGCUUAGCCCAGGCUCCCUUGAGAUGAUGACCUCUGACCCACGCUCCGCUGACCCAGGCUCUGCUGACCCAGGCUCUGCUGACCUAGGCUCUGCGUCAUCUUGGGCUUCAUUUGUUAGCUGUUGAUGUGCUUCUCUCCAUGACCCUUGCCUUAGCCCUGGAGGGAUAGCUUUCGCUGUGUGGAAAGCACUUGGGUUCUGGUUGCUUAGGUUUCAAAGCAGGAAUGAAAUUGAGGACAAAGGACUUCAGGCGCCUGACAAAGUGUCCAGCUCGGUGACACACUUUCUUUCUUCUGUCAUACUGGCACGGGUUGGCCUUUGCAACCUGGCCUUGUGAGUCCUCUUUGCUUGUUUGCCUUUUAGACUGGGUGGUGGGUUGUGAUGACACUCCCCAGACCCUCCAUCUCUGUUCCCAUCCCUUAGAAUUCCCCACGUCGCCCGAGUCUUCUGACUUGGGAACCAUGGGAAGCCCGAGGCUCCCUUUGCUGUAUUUAGUACCAUACUUCUCCUCUCCUAGUCUGUACCUCAAAUAAAAUAAACACAUCCCCUUUAAGUCUCUUGGGAGAUGUGGGGGCUCAGCCUAAGAGUCUGGAAAGAGGGAGGUUAUACUUAGAAUACUGGUACUUAUCAUGGACAUUCUAACAUGUCCUGCCUACGUCAACCUUUUUAUUAGUCAUGUGAGAAGCUUCAGGUCAUGAUUCCUUCUCCAAAAUUCCCAAAACAUGACAGAUAUGGUGGUACACAUAUCUAACCCCAGCAGUUGGGAGGGUGGGUCAGAAGGACUGGUAUUAGCUGAGAGCCAGCCUUGGUUACUGAGGGAGGCUCUGCCACAGAGGAAAAACCAGAAAGAAGAAUGGGGAGAUGGCUUAAUCCUUAAAGUGCUUUCCUUGCAAGCAUCAGGACUCAACUUCCAUCCCAGAAAUCAUGCUUUUAAAAAAGUAUGGUAACAAGUUAAUAAUCCAAGUGCUGGGAAGGUGGACACAGACAGAGAGUUAGGACUUGCUGGUCAGCCAGCCUUGUUUACUUGAUUGGUCCCAGAACAGUGAGAUUCUGUGCACCAAGAUCCAAGGUUUUCCUCCGACCUCUACAUCCAUGAUUACAUUCAUGAACAUGUACUGGAACACACAUGUACACACGCACACUCUCUGGCCACACACAAAAAUAAGUAAUUCUGUUUGA